AUUAAGAAAUUGAAAUCCAGACUCCCGGACUUUUGACUUACCCACUGUCAGACCACUAGUUAAUGUCAGAGCAGGAAGUAUAAGGUAAAGCUCUCUUGAGAGAUCAGAAUUUGCAGUAGAUCUGUGACUUAGAAGAUACAUACCAGCUGACUCUCAGAUACUGUAGAAGAUGGUGAGGAGAGAUUUGCCUGCAAAACAUAAACAUGGCAUUUAUUAGUGAAACUCAUAAUUUAUUAAAAUAUGUAUGUGUUUAAGUA